GACAGAGUCUGGUCUGUUUGUAGGAGUGCAUCACUCACAUUUUGCUUAGACUGGAGAAGUCUCUCAGAGUCCAUACGAAGUCAGGGAAGAAGCUUAUAAAUUCAGCUGAGUCCUCCUCAUUCUGCUCAGAUUUUCUGUUGAAUUUGUUAGAAUUCAGAACCAAGCAGCUGGUAUAUUCAGCAACAUCUCUGCUCUGACUUUGCACUGUACUGUACCAUAAGGAAAGGAUACUGCAGCUGGUCCAUGGCCU